rnacentral:rRNA from 1 species
UACGGAGGGUGCAAGCGUUAUCCGGAUUCACUGGGUUUAAAGGGUGCGUAGGUGGGUUGGUAAGUCAGUGGUGAAAUCUCCAGGCUUAACUUGGAAACUGCCAUUGAUACUAUCAAUCUUGAAUACCGUGGAGGUCAGCGGAAUAUGUCAUGUAGCGGUGAAAUGCUUAGAGAUGACAUAGAACACCAAUUGCGAAGGCAGCUGGCUACACGAAUAUUGACACUCAGGCACGAAAGCGUGGGGAUCAAACAGG